CUCAGCUACUGUAAGAAAAUCACACAGACAGACUACAAACAGAGGCACAACUAUGUGGCCCAAAUGAUUCAUUGGAACUUAUGCCUCAAGUACCACCUCCCAGCAGCAAAGAACUGGUGGGAUCACAAACCUGCAAAAGUACUGGAAAAUGAGCACGCAAAGAUACUGUGGAACUUCCGAAUCCAGACUGACAAAGUUCUGGAACACAACACACCAGACAUCACAGUUGUGGAAAAGAAAAAGGUUUGGAUCAUGGAUGUUGCCAUCCCAGGUGACAGUCGCAUUGACGAAAAACAACAGGAAAAACUCAGCCGCUAUCAGGACCUCAAGAUUGAACUUCAAAGACUCUGGCAGAAACCAGUGCAGGUGGUCCCGGUGGUGAUGGGCACAUUGGGUGCCGUGCCAAGAGAGCUCAGCCGCAUUUGGAAACAACAGACAUUGACAAAAUUACGAUCUGCCAACUGCAAAAGGCCACCCUACUGGGAUCUGCACGCAUCAUCCGAAAAUACAUCACACAGUCCUAGACACUUGGGAAGUGUUCGACUUGUGAUUUUGUGAUACGAAAUCCAGCAUAUCUAUCUUGUUUGCUGUGUCAUAAUAAAAUUAUUAUUAUUAUUAUUAUUAUUAUUAUUAUUAUUAUUAUUAUUAUUAUUAUAGUUGGAUAGCCAGUUCUCAGGAGUGUUUUAGUUGUGUAUUCCUGCAUGGCAGGAGAUUGGGCUAGAUGGCCCUCGCGGCCUAUUCAAACUCAAUUAUUUCAUUUAAUUGGAAGCAAUUGUUUCUAAAUCUGAACCUAUAGGUACCCAUUAGUAUAUAUAAAUAGUAUUAAAGUUAGCCAUCUGUUAUCUAUUUAAUGUGUUAUACCUACUCUUUGUUGGCAAUGGAUUAGAGCUUGCUAUGCUUUUGUACUUGUUUUCCCCCCCAGAAUAUGGCCAAGGUCAUUGUGGACUGGAGGUGGAGGUACUUACUUUAGUGAAGAGGGAGGGUUUGUUUUCUUCCCUCCUACAUAAUAGCAGCUGGAAGGCUUCCAGGCACAGCUGGUUUCCCAACUACAUAUUGGCCAUGAAGGGACACCUACGUACUGUCCAGCUGUCAGCAUUCAGCCCGGAAAGAAAGGGCAGCCUUUGGCCUCUGACAAGACGAAAGGCUGUUUGUUCUUCCCUGGGUGGUCAAUGGUAGCCUUGCGAUGGGCAAUGGCUCCUGUGGCCAAGGGAUGGACCUGUGCCAAGCGUGGUCCAGCUGCUCUUGUACAGAAGGGGCAAAGGCCGUACCUCUUUCUUUCUACAAUGCCUCAAAGAGUACAGCAUAAUGAGGCAGACUAUGUACCCAAUAUUCAACUCCAAAAUGAAGAUGAUGGAAAACUUGAUUCGGAGCCAGAAAGUCACAUUUUAACAGAGCUACAAACAACAUUCAUAUAAAGUUUCAAUUAAGGUACUUUCAGGAAGGCUUAUCUGAUGCCAAAGGCUAGAUAUUCCUGCAAGGAGAGAGAUGGAUGUGAGCGAAUUCUAACUGUAUUUUUAGCACCUCUUCUUCCGACAAAAGCUCCACUGUUUCAUUUCUUCCUUCGCUGACUCUUAUUUGUUUUCUAAGUUCAUCUGGAAAAGACAUUUAGAACGCUUUUAUGAGCAGCAAAUAUUGCUGCCUGGAGUUCAAUCUUUGAAGGAACAAGCAGAAGAAGGUGAAAACCACACGUUUCAGCAUUGUUCAGGAAGAGUAAAAUCAGAGGUAUAAUGGGAGAGAAUGGGCAUUGUGCCUCCAAAAUAAAAUUGUGCUUCCAUCCU